UACAGAGGUCUCAAGCGUUGUUCGGAUUCAUUGGGCGUAAAGGGUGCGUAGGCGGCGCGGUAAGUCGGGUGUGAAAUCUCGGAGCUUAACUCCGAAACUGCAUUCGAUACUGCCGUGCUUGAGGACUGGAGAGGAGACUGGAAUUUACGGUGUAGCGGUGAAAUGCGUAGAGAUCAGGAAGAACAUCGGUGGCGAAGGCGCUCUGCUGGACCAUAACUGACACUCAGGGACGAAAGCUAGGGGAGCGAAUGGG
rnacentral:rRNA from 1 species